CUGGCUUUUCUCAGUGUGGUUUGUGUUGUAACCCUAACAGUCUGUGAGGGUGGUACACAUGGUAAUCUUUGCUGAGCAUAUCCUGAACGUCUGAUGUUUGUUUUGCUGGUUUUGAACUCUCACAUUCUGGAAAGAAAAGGGAAGUAGAAAGACAGCUGGGCAGCACAGACAUUUAUUUUACCUUCAUGUUUCCUUGUGCCCUGGCUGGGUGCACGACACAUUAAAUCCAUCAUCUUGGCAACAAUGUAUGUGGUCACAUGCCACCCUGGCUCUCUGGUCUGUCUGACAAAUACAUCAUUAGGAAUAUUUUUGGCUGCGGUGCAUCUGACACUCCACAAAAAAAGAUUGAAAUUGCUGUGAACCAUUGCUAUGUGGAGGCAUACAGACCAUUUUGCUCAGCAACAGCAAGUCCGGCAGAUAGCGUACGACACAGGGCAUGCAGUUAUAAUUUUAUAAGGAAGAUACUGCUCAGCCUUGCUUCUGACGGUGCCAUCUUUCCCUUCAAUCUCUUAAAUGAAAAUUCUACUGUCAUCCUGCAGCCGCAUAGGUACCUCAAGUUGAAAAAAAUGCACCUGUUUUUUUUUAACUUCUGUGGGUUCAGGAGCAGUCUCAGAAGUGUAAGUAUUGUGAGCUAUAGACUUG
rnacentral:lncRNA from 1 species